rnacentral:lncRNA from 1 species
GUGAAGAAGAUUAAUUCAUACUUUUUCUGUUGCCUUUAAUUUACUCAAAUAGAUUUCCAUGAAAAACUACUUCAAAACAGCAAAGUGGGCAAGCUACAGGACCAAGGUGGGUCCAAGGCAAAACCCUAAAGACUGUGUGCUGUACAACAGGACAAAGGGACAAUAUUGGUGAUGGAUGCAUUUUCCUGUGCUCCCCAAAAUCUGCUGUUAUCUCCUAAAUAAGUUUUCAAAGCACCAUAACAACACUAUCUCUAGAUUCACUUGGCAAAUAUGAGUACAAUUUGUUUAAAAUCCUAAGACAAUAGCUCUCAAUUAUUUACUGUUUUCUAGAAAUAGAGAUUUGAACAAAGAGGAGAGGACACCACCAUGCAAUAAUAAUGAUGUCUCCAAGAGUCUCUUAAACUUCUACAGUAUUGAAGGUUUCCAUAACUCCAGGCAGAGACUAAAGUAUCAUUUUCACGAUGUCUCAUUAACUAAAAAGCCAAAGAUAAAGCUAAAAUAAAAAGCUGGAGAAACUCCAAAGUUGAAGUUUUUAAGAGACAUGUUAAAUUAUUCUCUAUCAACUGGGAAUCCUUAAAGUUGCAGAAUAUUACUUUAAAGCUUUUGACUCCCCUUCCCACAGAAUUCAUACUAAUUUUCCUUAAAGAGAAGAAAAUCUUAUGUUUCCAAUUCAGUCUACGUGAACAAGAGCAUGGCUCCCAGUGUAGAGAGCAAGACUCUACUCCUACAAAAGGGCAUACAUAAUACAUACAUGUUUUCUCUUCUUCCUAGGCCAUAUGCAAACUAAGGAAGGAGUGGCAUUUGCAUUAAAUACUCGUAUACUUCAAUCAUUUUACACGUGUUCACUAACCUGGCAUGAGAGGUUCAAACACAGAACUCAAGACUACAGUAGAGAAUGUACUAAAAAUAUAACUUGAGGUGCUCUAUGUUUCUCUGAAUACUGGUACACAUAUAUGGUUGUCUUUUUAACACAAGAUGGCCAUUAACCCUCAAGAUAAACUUCUAAUCUACUAAGAAGGAAUCUAGCUUUCCACAGAGGAACAUCUCCAACUGGAUAACGUUUACCAACACUAAGUCCUCCUAAUAUGUCUCAGUAGAGUUCCUUUCUCAUGCUAUCUUUGAUCAACUUACUGUGUGCCCUUUUGUGUCAAAUCCUACAAUACAUAUAUACCACACAGAGGGACAACUUUUGACUCACAUUCAUAGCUAUGUUGUUCAUGACAAUAUUCUUAUCAUGUUCUUCAAUAAGCAUUAAUGUUACAGAAGCAAAUGUACUACAGCAACCUAAAAUCAAAUUAAUCACAUGUAAUAUAGUAUAGUUCCUAAAUACAGCCACUAUUUGCAAUAUUUAAAACCUAAGAUGUUAAGCGAGAUAGGUCAAUAAUUAAAAGUACCUACUAUCUACCUCAGGAUGCAAUCUGGUCUCUUCAGGCACCUGAACUCAUGUGCAGGCACCUGUACCUACACACAUGCAUACACCUAACUGAAAAUUUAAAAAUAAACAUAAAAAAACAGGAUUGUAAUUGCAUGAAUAUAUAUUAAAACAAAGGCGUGAAAGGCUUAAAGGUAUGGCUCAAUGGUAGACAGACUAUGUAGUUAACAUGUGCAUGGCUCUAGUUCCCAUCACUGGCACCAAACUAAAUAAAUCAUAAAAAUAAAAUGAAAGCUUCAUUCAGUUCUUCAUCAGAGUUCAGAAUUUCAGAUGAGACAGUGGGCAUUUACAACAAAAUCUGACAGCCUGAGCUCCAUCUCCUGCCCCAAAACUACGAGACAACUAAAAAUCUAUGGCAAUAGACAGGAAUUAAGUGAAAGCCCACACGAGGUCCACGGACAACUGCAACCAGUUCAAAUCUAGCUCAAAGUGUUUUGGUGACCUCUGAAGGAAUUUUAACCUUGGCAAGUUCUCCUAGCUAUAAUGUGUUUUUUCAUUCUUUAAAAAAGUAUGAAUAUUAUAUUGAUUAUAUAAUUAGAUGUAAUAUAUUGCAUUACAUAAUAUAUACUUAUAUUAUAUAUAAGUAUAAUAUAUAUGUAUAUAUGUCUAUAUGUCUAUAUAUGUGUGUGUGUGUAUAUAUAUAUAUAUUUUUUUUUAAUUUGGCUUUUCAAGACAGAGUUUCUCUGAGUCCUGGCUGUCCUAGAAUUUGCUUUGUAGACCAGGCUGUCCUCAAACUCAUUUAGAUCUAUCUGCUUCUGCCUCUCCAGUGCUGGUACUAAAGGUGUCACCACCAUACCAAGCUAAAAUAAAUAAAUAAAUAAAUAAAAUUUUUAAAAAAUCCCUUUUUAAUAAGAAGUUAAAGAAUGGAUAAAAAGAACAACUUAUAAAACUGUCAGAGCUGGCAAGACCAAAAGAGGAGGAAGUAGAAAGGAAGGAGGGAAAAGGGGAGGGAGAUUUAAAGAAAAAAAAAGGAAAAGAGAAAAAAAGAGCCAGGUACUACACAAAAAAAGGUAUUGUUAUGGUGUGCACAUCACACACACACAUGUGCACACACACAAGUACCUUAACUGUGCCUACAGACUAGGAUAUAUUUUCUUCACGUACUCAAAAGAAUAUUUUUACUUACUAGAAAGCAGACUAUUCAUCAUCCAUCAAACGCCAUGUUCUAAGUACAAAAUAUUUAAAUUACUGUAGUACAUACCAUCAAUUAUUUGAAGGAAAAAAUCUUUAGCAUAAAAAUAUUCAUGCAGCUAGCCAAAUCAAAACAUUUUCUUACUAAACAGCUAACAGUGAGAGCCAGAUGGCAUUUUAAGAAACAUACCUUACAGAUACUAUGUAAGAAUCCAAACCUACAGUACAUAGUGGGCAUUUUUGCUCAAUUUAGCAUAAUACUUAACAGGGGGUCUCAGAAGGGUCAGCAAAUUGUCAGGAAGCUGUGAUUAAUACUACACGCCUGAUACUUUUAAUGUCACUCAGGGGAUUAAGCCAUUUUAGAGAGCUAAGCCAUGAACUAAGAUUAAUUCUGAAGAUAAACUAGUUUGAACCAUCCCAUACUGAGAAAAUCACUUUGUAUAGCCAAAUACUUCUUGGUAUAGUUUAAUGAGACAAUUCUGUCUAUGUUUACUGAUGAAAAAGAAGCUAUCUGCAAGACAAUCUAUCCGCCAAGACUUGGUAAACAAACCUGGGCACAAAAAUAAUGUACAUAGAUGGAGGUGCCAAGUUGUGAGAGAUGACGGAGGCAGGGAAGUUGGGCCAUGUAACUAUGGAGAAAAGCAAAAGGAAGUCAAACGAUCCUGAUGCUUUUGAACAUCAGCCCCUUUCCUCGUUUUUCUACAACUGCUCAUUAAACUCUCUCAUGCCCUCUUGAGAGUUCAGCUGAGGGCCCAGAUAGCCCAAGAUACUAACCUAGCCAAAGAAGAAAAGUACCCCUCAUCUAGGCAAUCAACAAAACUCACAUCCCAUAGGCAGAAAAUACAGAGAAAUCAUUCCAUAGUUGUAAAAGGUACCUGACCUUUACUCAAGAGACAGACUUGCCCUACUUCCAGUUGAUUUGUUGGGCAUAAUUACUUUUACUUCAUCUCUUAAACUACAGCCCCCUAAAACAGAAAAGAGCUGGUUCAAAGUACCAAGUACCGAGAGUAAAAGGCAGCAAGAUCUCCGUUCAAAACCUGGGACCACUUAGAGCAGCCACAUGGGCAACGAGAGCUCCUAAACUGAAGAAAUCACACAGCAAACCAAUACAGCUCUGGGCAGCUACAGAGUGCCCAUGCUUCAACCUGAAAACAAUGAGGUAAAUACUGCAAUGAGACAUGACAGAUCCUAGGAGACGGGCUUUAGUCACAACUAAAAAGAUUUUUUUAAAAAUUAGAUGUGCUUCAAAUACCAACACAUUUGAAGGACUUUGACACCUGCAUUUCCUCCAAUCGGUAAAUCUCAUAAAACACAGAGCAACAUGCUGUAUACUCAAGAUGACUCAGACAAGGGGUCCCUACUUACUUUCUAGCAAAGAACAGAACACAUAAAUAGAACUGCAACACAGGAUGCAAGCUGGAGUGUGAAGAGGGAUGAUGUCACAGUGACAUGGGGAAACCCAUGAUGAAGGCUCCAGACAGAACAAGUGACUAUGCAGAAAGAAAACUGUGUGCUGUGCAGUGCUCAAACAGAGGAUGGGGUGCACUUAGAUUCACCCACUUAAUAAAUGCCUACCAUGUUUCUGACACUGGGCUGGCCAGAGUACAAGUAUGAGCAAGUCAGGCAUGCAGGGUACGUAGCAGGAGGUACAGGUAUUAAACAAGCCAAAGGUCAAUUCCUGUCUCCAGUACAUUCCAAGGCCAUGAAGAAAAUCGGGAUGCUACAGGAGGAAAAAAGAGUGAUAAAGAAGAAAGCCUCUCUGGUGAAGUGACAUUUAAACUGAGACCUAACAAUGAGGAACAUCUUAUAUAUACUUGGUCUUUGGGGACACAGCAUGGUGCCACCAUGGGAAAGGACAAGGAGAACCAUGAGCUCUGAGCAAUCUACUCCGAGAUUGGCCACAUGCAGUGUGUGAGUUUCUAUAGACAGAACUCUUAUAAGUACAGAAACUUAAGCUGGAAAGCCUGAGUAGCAUCCAUGUGCAGCCAUUUCCUUGCUCACAUGAAGAAAAUGAAGCCUGGAGACUGGCUCAGUGGCCCUUAAGUAGGUGUAGGCAGAGGAUGCUGCUGUCACACCCACUACAUCCAACUGCCAAUUAGUUUUUUAAUCAGAUAAUUCAUAUGAAAAGUUGGAGCUCAGAAAAUAGGUAAAGAAUAAGUAACAUGAGCAGAUUAGGUGCCAAACAUUUCACUAAAGUGUACAGAAAAAUAAUCUUUACACAUUUGGAGUACAAUGAGAAAUUUAAGUUUUUCAUUAAAAAAAAAUCACAAAAUAAAAUAUAUUCGAUUCCUUUUCUGACACUGCACACAUCCUUUUGUAUGUCUGAAAUCUAUGAGAUCAUGGUGAUAAUACAGAGUGUGUCAAAUUAUUUUACAUGCCUUUCCUUGGAGAAACAGACAUGACAAGAAGUCCCCCACACGGCUGAGGACACAUAUCUUAAGGUACCUGCCUGAUAAACAGGGCCAUUGAGGAACAACUAUUACUAAUGGCUGGGAAUGAAGAAAGCCAGCAAUGGGAUUCGCAGAGGCAGUGUACCUCAAAGCAAAACAAUGAAAACAUACUGGAACAGCCACAAAAGAAGAAGGCCCACGCAAGGAGCAAAGUACACUAUGAACUUUUCAUGAAUUCUGUCCCAGGAGAUC